GAAUUUCAUUCAGCAGUUGUGAAGUCAUCUACACAGAGGAGUAAAUCAUCUACAUAUUGGAGGAGGACCAUGUCUGCAUGAGAUUUUUUUUUCACAGUUCUAGUACGGUAGACAUAGCUUUAGCAAACUGAGUUGGUGAAUUUUGUGCACCCUGAGGCAUGACAGUCCAAGUAUACUGCUGGCAAUCAUGUGUAAAAGCAAACCGAUAUUAACAAGAAGGAUCCAAGGGCACACUGAAAAAGGCAUUUGCAAGAUAGACCACAGUGAAGAAUUUAGCUGUUGGUGGGACUUGUGACAACAGCGUGUGUGGAUUAGGGACAACGGUAGUAUCUCGGUUGGUGACAUCAUUAACAGCGCAGAGGUCCUGG